rnacentral:rRNA from 1 species
CCUACGGGAGGCAGCAGUGGGGAAUAUUGCACAAUGGGCGCAAGCCUGAUGCAGCGACGCCGCGUGGGGGAUGACGGCCUUCGGGUUGUAAACUCCUUUCGCUAGGGGCGAAGCGUUUUUGUGACGGUACCUGGAGAAGAAGAACCGGCUAACUACGUGCCAGCAGCCGCGGUAAUACGUAGGGUGCGAGCGUUGUCCGGAAUUACUGGGCGUAAAGAGCUCGUAGGUGGUUUGUCGCGUCGUGUGUGUAAGCCCGCAGCUUAACUGCGGGACUGCAGGCGAUACGGGCAUAACUUGGGUGCUGUAGGGGAGACUGGAAUUCCUGGUGUAGCGGUGGAAUGCGCAGAUAUCAGGAGGAACACCGAUGGCGAAGGCAGGUCUCUGGGCAGUAACUGACGCUGAGGAGCGAAAGCAUGGGUAGCGAACAGGAUUAGAUACCCUGGUAGUC